AUUGAACGCUGGCGGCAGGCCUAACACAUGCAAGUCGAGCGGAUGACGGGAGCUUGCUCCUUGAUUCAGCGGCGGACGGGUGAGUAAUGCCUAGGAAUCUGCCUGGUAGUGGGGGACAACGUUUCGAAAGGAACGCUAAUACCGCAUACGUCCUACGGGAGAAAGCAGGGGACCUUCUGGCCUUGCGCUAUCAGAUGAGCCUAGGUCGGAUUAGCUAGUUGGUGGGGUAAUGGCUCACCAAGGCGACGAUCCGUAACUGGUCUGAGAGGAUGAUCAGUCAAGCUGGAACUUGGACACGGGCCCGACUCCUACGGGAGGCAGCAGUGGGGAAUAUUGUACAAUGGGCGAAAGCCUGAUCCAGCCAUGCCGCGUGUGUGAAGAAGGUCUUCGGAUUGUAAAGCACUUUAAGUUGGGAGGAAGGGCAGUAAGUUAAUACCUUGCUGUUUUGACGUUACCGACAGAAUAAGCACCGGCUAACUCUGUGCCAGCCGCCGCCGUAA
rnacentral:rRNA from 1 species